GCACUGUGUGGGGAGGCCCAGGAAGAGGAAAGGGAAAAGAGCCUAGAGCAAACUCCUAUCAGCCUCAGUCAGCAGCCAAAUCUGAACCCAAUGGGAGCCACAUUCCAGCAACCAAAGGUAUGGAAGAAGGGGUUGGCUAAAUAUAUGUAAAUUAUGACUUGUCUGUGUUUGUGUCUGUUACCAAAGAUAAGAGUCCCAACAGCAGAAAGGUUGUUGAUCAAAGGAGGAAUCUGAUUGCCAUUAUGGCUUGAAGAAGGAUUUUGUUCCCCUUUGUGAGGUGUAAUUGGAAAUGGCUACAAUAGUUUUUUUUUUGGGGGGGAGGGGUUGCCUUCCUUUGGAUCAACAGCAUAAAAAAGAAUGUGCUUCACAGUUGAACUUGAUGGACUUUUUUAUUUUAAGGGUAGGGUAAGGGUUAGGGUUAUGGAAUUGCCAAAGUCCCGAAUUCCCAAAGUGCAGAAGUUCCAAAUUGCCAAAUUGCCAUAUCCCCGAAUUGCCAAAUUUCGUAUCCCCGAAAGUGCUGAACCGAAGUGCCGAAGUGCCGAAGUGCCGAAGUGCCGAAUUCUUGACCGGAACCAUAGUGCCAAAGUGCAGAAGUCCUGAAUCGCCGAAGUCACAAAUUUCAGAAGUGGCCGACUGAACCUAAUUUUUUGUCCAUGCACAUCCCUAGUAUGUAUGUAGCAGUGUAUCUGUGAGUGUCAAUAUGUAUCUGUGUCAGUAUGUGUAUGUGUCAGUGUAUGUGUAUAUGUCCAUACAUGCCAGCAUUCAUGCCAACACUAUACACAAAUACACCCCUACUUUCAAACACCCGUGCAUUCAAAAGCCCUAACCACUACAAAAAUACACCCUUACAUUCAAAUGCCAAAACUACAUACAAACAUACCACAGCAUUCAAAUGGCAACAGUACAUACAAGUGCACUCCUACAUUCACACUCCAGGACAAUAACAUGCUUACAUUCAAACACACAAACAUUGCUCACAAAUACAAUUAUUAUUAUUCCAAGAAGUUCCGUAGUGCUGUACAAUGGGUGGACUAACAGACACGUAUUUGUAACCAGACAAGUUUGACAAACAGGAACAGUGUGGUUGAGGGCCCUGCUCAAUGAGCUUACAUGCUAGAGGGAGUGGGGUAAUGUGACAGAAAAGGUUAGAGUCAGGUAGAAAAGUAGGUGGCUAGGAUAGUGUUCAUUGAGAGCUUAGUGUUUUGUUUUGAUGACAGUUUCAGGGGAGGUAUCAGGGUACGGGGAGGGAUAGCUGUCCACAGUUUAAUUGAUAUGAUUUCCUAAAGAAGUAAGUUUUCAAAGUUUUUUGAUGGAGUGGAGACUGGGUGAGAGUCUAACAGAGAGGGGAAGGGCGUUCCAUUCUGCAAGGAUGGGCAAGGAUGGGCAAGGAUGGGCAAAUAAAAAUACUCAGCUUGCAAAUUAAAUGGGCAAAUAAAAGAUACCCAGCUUGCAAAUCAUGUGGGAGGUCCACCCUUGCUCUAGAGGGGGACGGGCCCUAAAGAAAUUUCUUGCAUCAGAGCCCCCUUUACGUUAGUUCCACGACUGAUUCAGGAUUAGGAGACACAAGGACUGGGAUACUGGAAAAGGUAGGAGACAAUUGUACAGUGUGACUGAAUAUGCUGGUCCUAUAGAAAUAAUUAUAAUGAUCAUGACUGAAUAUUUGAAUAAUUAAAUUAGAUGGAGAUAGUGUGUGCCAUAAGUAGGCCAUAGUAACACUGCUUCUAAAUACAUCACUUCACAGACAAAUAAGAACGUUUCUUUUCAUAAAGUGAGGGUGUUUGUAUAAUAGGUCAGUGUCAUCUGCAGUACUAUAUCAUAAGUAUUGUUUAAAUGACAAUGGCCAAUUAAAAAAGCUUUAAAGAGUUACUCCAAGAACCAUGACCACUUCAGUGUUUCAUGAGACAAAGAGUCUGUAUGUGCACUAUAUUAGUAUAAGACGCCAUGCUGCACAUACUGAGGUAUUUAAUUAAGCUACUAGAUGUGUAACUCCACCUUUGGGCCUGCGAUUAUGUCAUCUGUGGUCUCUGGAGAGACCCAGGUAUGUCAUCAUGCAGACAGUUUUAUUAAGUGUUCUUGCAUAGCAAGACCACUUAAUGUUAUCUCACAUAUAUUAUUAUUAUUAUUAUUAUAGCCAAAUUUACCACCCUAACUCCUCCCACAGUUUUUACACUACAUAGACAGUAAUAUAUCGAAACAUGCGGAUUGUUCCCGAUUGGAUUGCUAUUACUUUGUGGAACGUCGCCGAAUGGUUCACGGAAUAUCGUUGUUCUUGUGGCAAAAUUGAUCCCAUAGGAAUGAAUGGCAUAAUGUUCAAAACUAGAGUGGGAGCUGGCAAAAGCUGACAUGAUUUCUAAACUGCCACCACUCCCUCAAAGCCCACCUACACAAAUCUUAUAUCAAAACGUUCAGCUAUCCCUGCUGCCACUAAACAUGUCCACGGCUAAGCCAUAGUCCUUAUAGUUUUCACAAUAUGACCAUUUGUUUGCAACUCACGACGUCCAUUGACAUUCAUUGAAACUCCACUCUAGCCAGCUUAAAUUUGAAGGGCAAUUUCUAAACUGCACCUUCAUUUUUAAUACUUCAGAGACAUACUAUGCAUCAAAAUGUGGGUGUGGGUCUUGUGAUUCUCACAAUAUAAAGCUCUUCGCUGUAGGAGUUAUAGUUUUUAAAAUACGACCGUUUGAAGAUGGCAACCGCCAAAAUACUCUGACCUGUGCCAGGCUGCAGCAGCAAGUGAUGUUAUAGACAGGGCCUUUUGUACACCUGCUAAUGUUUUUUAUAAAUGUAUGUUUUAAUGUAACUGUGAAGCACUUUGGGCAACAUUGUUGCAAUUAAAUGUGCUAUAUAAAUGAUAACAGUUACUCCGCCCACUCCAGUUGUAGACUACUGGUGGAGGCAAGAACACUUCACACAAUUUCCCCAGAAAUUGUAGCUUUUCUAGUUGUUAUUAUUAUUUUUAGAGCGCUAACAUAUUCUGCAGUCCUGUACAAUUGAGGGGGGAAGAGAAAACAAACAGUACAAUAUACACAGAUCAAUACAAAAGGUAAGGAGGACUCUGCCUGCGAGCUGUGAUCUAGCAAUAGAAGCUCUGUUUUACAGAGUGCUUAGUUAGAUAGACCUCACAAUCUCAAAACGAUUCUGUAUGCUAUGCUCCCCCACCCCCCAUUCACCCCAUUUAUCUUUCUCAUAAUUUUAUCUUUCAGUCUACAUUUCUCUUAUUUUGCUUUUUUCUGUUGUUACCCUGAUUUAAAUUGAGACUGUGUUAUGUAAUUAUUUAUGGAGGGAAACAACGGCGUUAUGUCUCUGUCCAUUGUUUUUAAAACAUGUAUUAAUAUACACGUAAAUGUAAAAUAUUUAUUUACAACUGUUUAUACGGUAUAUGCACGUGUGUAUAUAUAACAGGGGUGCUUGGCUUUUUGAAAAUAAAGAGCAAUUAAAAAAAAGAUUUUGUAUCUAUAGCAAACACAAACCCUGAAAUAAUAUAUAGUGCUAAAUAAAAAACAUUUGAUCUGUUAUAACCUUUAGGUAACUAUUCUCCUCCAACUUUAUGAGGACUUUUUGUAAGCAAGAAGAAUAUGCAUUUUCAUUCAUGUAUUUUCAUGAAUAAAACUACUCACAGCUACUGAACGAUACCAUUGAUGAUCUGCUAAGAAAGUUCACUAUUAUUGGCAUUAUUAUUGGCUGUGAAUUUCACUCAUUUCUUGGUGCCCACAGAAUCCCAGGGUAAUACAGAGCUAAUUUUCUUCAUAAUGCUUUAAAAGGGAAGAUACAUAUAAACUGAAGCUUAGAAUGUCUGGUCAUGAAUAGCAUUCUGAAAACUUCUGUCUCAUAUAGUACACAGUCAGGUUAUUAACUAACGGGAGAAUUGUUGGUAAUUUAAAGUGAAUUCAAAGUGAAUUUCACAGUUAGGGCGAAAGUAGUCAAAAUGGAAGCAUUGUUGACUUAGAGAGAUUUUUUUUCCAGUUUGGCUAUUUGGCCUUAAAUUUGAAUUUAACUUUGAAUUCUCGACAAUUCUACCGUUAGUACAUAAACUCUGAAAGUCUCUGUCCCUUGGUUAUGUAAUACUGUCAUAUGAUCAUUCAGGUUUUAUAAAUAGGAGUACAUGUAAAAAUAGCAACAAGUUCUAAACAGUUCAUUUUACAUCUGCUUUUGUGUCUCAUAUAUUUUCCUAUAUGUUUACCAUAUAAAAAAACAGGUGGCAUGAUGUGACGGAUUUAAAGGGACAGUGUAGGCACUUUAACACCUUAAUUUUACUGAAGUUGUUAUAGUGCCUGCAGUACUGCCCCAUCUCUUCUACCCUCCCAAAACCCAUUAGUUUACUAAUUAGAGGAAUUGGAAGCCAUGCCUCCAAACCCUCUGGGUAUGAGAGCCAUCAUUCCGGUCCUCAUACAGUAACAUACUGUGACAUCACGUGUGCAUGCGCUGUGCCAUCACAGUCGGCAUAGAGAAUCUUUAUAAUCAAUGAGUCUUUAUAGCAGAAAAUUAGGCACAUGUGCCUAAAGUCACCAAUGCUCCGCAAUGAGGGGCACUGGAUUGGCCCGUUAUCCAGGAGGCAACCUGAGGGGGAGGUUGUGUCAGCGCUGAGGGAGAAAAGGUGAGUCAUUUUUAUUUUUUUCAUACAGUAUUGGGGGAGACCUGCAUGACAAGGGGCUUUAGGGCUGUAGUGUUAAUAUUACAGUUAUUCCUAACACUACAGUGUUCCUUUUUUUUUUUUUAACAACAAGCAAUGACAGACCAGAUACAGAAAUAGCAGCAUGCUACACAAUAUAUAAAACACCCAACUUUUAGAACACAUAAUAGCCAGCUUAACAUUGAUAGUUUUAUAACUGAUAACUACAUCUUGCUGCCAUGGGAAGACCCCGAGGAUAAACAUAAAAACAUACGAUUAGCUUUCGGACAGUGAAAGACAUAAACCUAACCAGGAGACAAAGGUCGAUAGAUGAGACAUUUCUAGGUGUCUUACAUAAACAUGUCUCCAAAUAGGGUUAAUAGGUAUCAUUUUUGUUUUUAUAAGAUAGACACAUACAAUUAGGUACAAUCAGAAACCAUUUUAGUGCUCCAAUGAUAUAUGUGUGUAACAUACUGCCUAUAUGGGUGUCUAUAAGAGACAUUAGUCUUCUCAUGGAUACUGGUUAGGAUAUGGUCUCUUAUCUUCCUUAAGUAGGUUCUUAAUGCAAUUGGUAAAUGUAACAUUAAAACUGUGUAAACAUUGUUCAAAUAUUAUAAAAUAGAUUUUGUUUGUGGAUUUCUGAUGACAUUUUGUAGUACUGUAGACUCUUGGUCUGUUAUUAUCGAUAUAGGAACCUCGAAAUGGAGCCUUCACUGCAGAAAAGAGUCAUUGAUAGGUAACCCGUCAUGUUCAACACUUUUCUUCAUUUUAACAGGAUAGAAGCUCCAGAAAUGAAAAGCUUCUGGUUUAUAUGAUCCUUUGUGGACUUCUGGUGAGACACAUUUACCCAAAAACCAUC